GACGAACGCUGGCGGCGUGCUUAACACAUGCAAGUCGAACGGUAAGGCCCUUCGGGGUACACGAGUGGCGAACGGGUGAGUAACAUGUGGGUGAUCUGCCCUGCACUUCGGGAUAAGCCUGGGAAACUGGGUCUAAUACCGGAUAGGACUCCGGACUGCAUGGUCUGGGGUGGAAAGCUUUUGCGGUGUGGGAUGGGCCCGCGGCCUAGCAGCUUGUUGGUGGGGUGAUGGCCUACCAAGGCGACGACGGGUAGCCGGCCUGAGAGGGUGACCGGCCACACUGGGACUGAGAUACGGCCCAGACUCCUACGGGAGGCAGCAGUGGGGAAUAUUGCACAAUGGGCGCAAGCCUGAUGCAGCGACGCCGCGUGAGGGAUGACGGCCUUCGGGUUGUAAACCUCUUUCAGCAUCGACGAAGCGAAAGUGACGGUAGGUGCAGAAGAAGGGCCGGCCAACUACGUGCCAGCCGCCGCCGUAA
rnacentral:rRNA from 1 species